UACAGAGGUCCCAAGCGUUGUUCGGAUUCACUGGGCGUAAAGGGUGCGUAGGCGGUCGGGUAAGUCUGAUGUGAAAUCUCAGAGCUCAACUCUGAAACUGCAUUGGAUACUAUUCGGCUGGAGAGUUGGAGGGGGGACUGGAAUUCUUGGUGUAGCAGUGAAAUGCGUAGAUAUCAUGAGGAAGACCAGUGGCGAAGGCGGGUCUCUGGACAGUUCCUGACGCUGAGGCACGAAGGCCAGGGGAGCAAACGGG
rnacentral:rRNA from 1 species